rnacentral:rRNA from 1 species
UUAAGCGACUAAGCGUACACGGUGGAUGCCUAGGCAAUCAGAGGCGAUGAAGGACGUGCUAAUCUGCGAAAAGCGUCGGUAAGGUGAUAUGAACCGUUAUAACCGACGAUGUCCGAAUGGGGAAACCCAGUGCAAUUCGUUGCACUAUCGUUUGAUGAAUCCAUAGUCAAACGAGGCGAACCGGGGGAACUGAAACAUCUCAGUACCCCGAGGAAAAGAAAUCAACCGAGAUUCCCCUAGUAGCGGCGAGCGAACGGGGAGCAGCCCAGAGUCUUAAUCAGCAUCAGCAUCAGGAGAACGGUCUGGAAAGGCCGGCAAUAAAGGGUGAUAGCCCCGUAUCCGAAGGUGUUGGUGUUGUGAACUCGAUGAGUAGGACGGGACACGUGUUAUCCUGUCUGAAUAUGGGGGACCAUCCUCCAAGGCUAAAUACUCCUGAUUGACCGAUAGUGAACCAGUACCGUGAGGGAAAGGCGAAAAGAACCCCGGCGAGGGGAGUGAAAUAGAACCUGAAACCGUGUACGUACAAGCAGUGGGAGCCUUGAUUUAUCAGGGUGACUGCGUACCUUUUGUAUAAUGGGUCAGCGACUUAUAUUCUGUAGCAAGGUUAACCGAAUAGGGGAGCCGUAGGGAAACCGAGUCUUAACUGGGCGAAUGAGUUGCAGGGUAUAGACCCGAAACCCGGUGAUCUAGCCAUGGGCAGGUUGAAGGUUGGGUAACACUAACUGGAGGACCGAACCGACUAAUGUUGAAAAAUUAGCGGAUGACUUGUGGCUGGGGGUGAAAGGCCAAUCAAACCGGGAGAUAGCUGGUUCUCCCCGAAAGCUAUUUAGGUAGCGCCUCGUGAACUCAUCUUCGGGGUAGAGCACUGUUUCGGCUAGGGGGUCAUCCCGACUUACCAACCCGAUGCAAACUACGAAUACCGAAGAAUGUUAUCACGGGAGACACACGGCGGGUGCUAACGUUCGUCGUGAAGAGGGAAACAACCCAGACCGCCAGCUAAGGUCCCAAAGUCAUGGUUAAGUGGGAAACGAAGUGGGAAGGCUCAGACAGCCAGGAUGUUGGCUUAGAAGCAGCCAUCAUUUAAAGAAAGCGUAAUAGCUCACUGGUCGAGUCGGCCUGCGCGGAAGAUGUAACGGGGCUAAACCAUGCACCGAAGCUGCGGCAGCGACAUGUAAAUGUUGUUGGGUAGGGGAGCGUUCUGUAAGCCUGUGAAGGUGUGCUGCGAGGCAUGCUGGAGGUAUCAGAAGUGCGAAUGCUGACAUAAGUAACGAUAAUGCGGGUGAAAAACCCGCACGCCGGAAGACCAAGGGUUCCUGUCCAACGUUAAUCGGGGCAGGGUGAGUCGACCCCUAAGGCGAGGCAGAAAUGCGUAGUCGAUGGGAAACAGGUUAAUAUUCCUGUACUGGUGAUAAUUGCGAUGGGGGACGGAGAAGGCUAGGCUGGCCGGGCGACGGUUGUCCCGGUUUAAGGAUGUAGGUGGGUGAAUUAGGCAAAUCCGGUUCGCUAUACACUGAGGUCUGAUGACGAGUCACUACGGUGGCGAAGUAGCUCAUGCCCCGCUUCCAGGAAAAGCCUCUAAGCUCUAGAUUAUCAUUAAUCGUACCCCAAACCGACACAGGUGGUCAGGUAGAGAAUACUCAGGCGCUUGAGAGAACUCGGGUGAAGGAACUAGGCAAAAUGGUGCCGUAACUUCGGGAGAAGGCACGCUGGCACUAGGUGAAGUGGUUUACCCAUGGAGCUGAAGCCAGUCGCAGAUACCAGCUGGCUGCAACUGUUUAUUAAAAACACAGCACUGUGCAAACACGAAAGUGGACGUAUACGGUGUGACGCCUGCCCGGUGCUGGAAGGUUAAUUGAUGGGGUUAUCCGUAAGGAGAAGCUCUUGAUCGAAGCCCCAGUAAACGGCGGCCGUAACUAUAACGGUCCUAAGGUAGCGAAAUUCCUUGUCGGGUAAGUUCCGACCUGCACGAAUGGCGUAAUGAUGGUCAGGCUGUCUCCACCCGAGACUCAGUGAAAUUGAACUCACUGUGAAGAUGCAGUGUACCCGCGGCAAGACGGAAAGACCCCGUGAACCUUUACUAUAGCUUGACACUGAACAUUGAGCCUUGAUGUGUAGGAUAGGUGGGAGGCUUUGAAGUGUGGACGCCAGUCUGCAUGGAGCCAACCUUGAAAUACCACCCUUUAAUGUUUGAUGUUCUAACGUCGCCCCAUAAUCUGGGGUGCGGACAGUGUCUGGUGGGUAGUUUGACUGGGGCGGUCUCCUCCCAAAGCGUAACGGAGGAGCACGAAGGUUGGCUAAGCAUGGUCGGACAUCAUGCGGUUAGUGCAAAGGCAUAAGCCAGCUUGACUGCGAGAGUGACGGCUCGAGCAGGUACGAAAGUAGGUCUUAGUGAUCCGGUGGUUCUGAAUGGAAGGGCCAUCGCUCAACGGAUAAAAGGUACUCCGGGGAUAACAGGCUGAUACCGCCCAAGAGUUCAUAUCGACGGCGGUGUUUGGCACCUCGAUGUCGGCUCAUCACAUCCUGGGGCUGAAGUAGGUCCCAAGGGUAUGGCUGUUCGCCAUUUAAAGUGGUACGCGAGCUGGGUUUAGAACGUCGUGAGACAGUUCGGUCCCUAUCUGCCGUGGGCGUUGGAAGAUUGAAAGGGGCUGCUCCUAGUACGAGAGGACCGGAGUGGACGCACCGCUGGUGUUCGGGUUGUCAUGCCAAUGGCACUGCCCGGUAGCUAAGUGCGGAAAAGAUAACCGCUGAAAGCAUCUAAGCGGGAAACUUGCCUUGAGAUGAGUCUUCCCUGACUCUUUAAGGGUCCUAAAGGAACGUUUAAGACGAAGACGUUGAUAGGCUGGGUGUGUAAGCGUAGCGAUACGUUGAGCUAACCAGUACUAAUGAACCGUGAGGCUUAACC